CCGGAGCUUGCUCCACCGGAAAAAGAGGAGUGGCGAACGGGUGAGUAACACGUGGGUAACCUGCCCAUCAGAAGGGGAUAACACUUGGAAACAGGUGCUAAUACCGUAUAACAAUCGAAACCGCAUGGUUUUGAUUUGAAAGGCGCUUUCGGGUGUCGCUGAUGGAUGGACCCGCGGUGCAUUAGCUAGUUGGUGAGGUAACGGCUCACCAAGGCCACGAUGCAUAGCCGACCUGAGAGGGUGAUCGGCCACAUUGGGACUGAGACACGGCCCAAACUCCUACGGGAGGCAGCAGUAGGGAAUCUUCGGCAAUGGACGAAAGUCUGACCGAGCAACGCCGCGUGAGUGAAGAAGGUUUUCGGAUCGUAAAACUCUGUUGUUAGAGAAGAACAAGGAUGAGAGUAACUGUUCAUCCCUUGACGGUAUCUAACCAGAAAGCCACGGCUAACUACGUGCCAGCAGCCGCGGUAAUACGUAGGUGGCAAGCGUUGUCCGGAUUUAUUGGGCGUAAAGCGAGCGCAGGCGGUUUCUUAAGUCUGAUGUGAAAGCCCCCGGCUCAACCGGGGAGGGUCAUUGGAAACUGGGAGACUUGAGUGCAGAAGAGGAGAGUGGAAUUCCAUGUGUAGCGGUGAAAUGCGUAGAUAUAUGGAGGAACACCAGUGGCGAAGGCGGCUCUCUGGUCUGUAACUGACGCU
rnacentral:rRNA from 1 species